rfam:Ovis aries breed Texel chromosome 1, whole genome shotgun sequence.
UCCCUGGUGGCUCAGAUGGUAAAGCAUCUGCCCUCAAUGCAGGAGACCCGGGUUCGGUUCCUGGGUGGGGAA